GACACUGAGACUCAAGUCAUGAAGUGCUGCGUGUACAAAGCUGGAUAGCUAUCCGUUGAAGCCUUCUGCCUCAGUGCCCUUUGUACUUCCUAUGAUUGGUGCUCGGCUGAGGGAAGGACAACCUAAUUCUGGAAUCCUGGGCUCCAUAUGGGGAACUGCUGACCCUCAGAUCUCCAGAUAGUCAUGGGAAAGAGGCCUCUAAUCCUCCCCCCCAAAACAUGAUCAAUUUUGUCACUGAUAUCUGCUUACUUUCACCUGUUGGAGAACAUUACACGAAUGGAAUCAGAUGUACAUAGGAUUCUUGCCUCCCUCAUUAGACGGUUCAUCGAUUCUAAGACAUCCUCCCCUGACUUCCCUGUCUGGGAUCGCCACCACCCCGCUGGUCUCCCUGGAGCAUGUGAUCAGCUGCAUUCUCCCUCUCAGAUGCUGUCAGCUCAGCCACAAGGAAUCUGCCUGUCCCCAUCACUUGAUGUGCCUGGAAGGUACCAGAGCCAGCCUGAUUCAAAAGCUUUUAUUCGAAAAGGACGGGGUAAUGGCCGGGGGGUGUCACUCCCAGAACAGAAGGCUCCUGCAGGCGGAGACCCUGCCUUCCUCAGCUCCUCAUCCUCCCUGUGCCUUGCAGGCCAAGGUGCUCAGGGCAGCCUUCAUUCUCCAGCUUCGCAGCCACCCUCAGCUCCUCCCAAGUACAGGAUGCUUGUGAGGGUCUGGCCCCUCCGCGGCAUGUGGAAUACUUUCACACUGAGGAUCAUCGAAUCCUUACCACCCGGUCAGGUGGGGCAAGUAUUGCUGUCCCCAUUUCACAGAUGAGGAAACGAAUGAUCAGACAGCUCCGGGCCUUGCCCAACAUUGCCCAACCGGUAAAGGCUCUCUGGGGUUUUUCCAGAGCAACACAACUGUCUCUGAAUGGGGGGUGGAGGAGAUCUGGAUGGAGCUGAACCCCAGGGUUGAAUCCCAUUUCUGAUGCUUGGAGAGGUGGCUUAGAAUUUCUGAGCCUCGUUUUCCUUAUCUGUAAAAUGGAGUUAACCAUACUUACUGCAUAAAAUUGUUGUGAGGCUCAAAUGACACACUGUAUGGAACUAGCAACGUUCAGGGCACAUGGAAAGUUAAUGCAGCUUUUCUGAUGAUGUAUGUGGUUGGGAUGAGUGCCCACGAAUGUCCCUCCAAUUCCGACAGCAUAUGACUCAAUCCCAUAAGCAUCAGGAAAGGAGCUAAGUAGAAACCAGGGAGCAGAUUGACUAAACGGAGGAAAAUUGGGUUCAAAGAAAACAGAACUCCCAGAGUCUGUAGGUCCUCAAAACUGUCCCAUGACUUUUCCCACCUUGCCCUGCCCACCCUCCUCUGGGGCAAGCCCCCCCUCCCCAGGCCUGGGGGUGGGACCUGGUUCCUGGAGACUAGAGCAUCAUUAGCCCCAGAAAAGAUGCCAAGAGACCCCAAACAGGCCAGCCCAUCUUAGCCUCAGCCAAGACCCGAAAGUUCUGAUUUGGCCAUCACCUGCCCUAACCACAAGCCCAAGCCUCUAAACCAGCCAGAAGAUGGGGACCUCGUGGAGGGUGACGGUGGUUCCUGCAUUCCAGACGCCAGGCUGGGCUGGGCCCUCUGGAGCAGCCCUUGGCCUCCAGUGCUGCUGCUCCUCAAAGUUUCCUAGUCCUUCUUAGAGCUGGAAAGCACCUCGUCCGUCUCCAGAGCCAGCAGGUCUCAAAUUCUGGAACCAAGAAGGUCGCGAGUGGGCCUGGAAAUAUGCAUAUUAAUUAGCACCUCCCCUCGCCCCCCGUGAGAAACUGAUUUGGUCCAGUUCCCUUGCCCUUGUGGAGAAGCUGAGUUCAAGUGGGGAUAUAACUGGCUCAAGACGCCAUGCUGGCCCAGCCAUCGUGGCUCAGUGGUUGAGCAUCAACCUAUGAACCAAGAGGUCAUGGUUCAAUUC